UGCAGCUUUGUCAAAUUCAGUGCUCUCUCCUGGGUGGGUUGCACUGGCCAAAGUGGCUGCAACAGUGAUUCUGUAGUUCAUGGGCCCCGUGUUUCCUUAUCGUGGACUCUGGGGAUAAAUAUGCACUGCAGACAAAA